UAACGAAUCUUCCGCAAUGGGCGAAAGCCUGACGGAGCAAUGCCGCGUGUGGGAUGAAGCGCCUUCGGCGUGUAAACCACUGUCAGGGAACGGAACCAAUGAUUGUUCCCAAAGGAAGUGGCGACUAACUCUGUGCCAGCAGUCGCGGUAAUACAGAGGCCACAAGCGUUAGUCGGAAUCACUGGGCUUAAAGGGUGCGUAGGCGGGCUCGCAAGCGUCUUGUGAAAUCCCAUGGCUCAACCAUGGAAUU
rnacentral:rRNA from 1 species